UACGUAGGGAGCGAGCGUUGUCCGGAUUCAUUGGGCGUAAAGAGCUCGUAGGCGGCUUGAUUAGUCGGAUGUGAAACCUCCAGGCUCAACCUGGAGUCGCCAUCCGAUACUGUCAUGGCUAGAGUCCGGUAGGGGCCCACGGAAUUCCUGGUGUAGCGGUGAAAUGCGCAGAUAUCAGGAGGAACACCGGUGGCGAAGGCGGUGGGCUGGGCCGGCACUGACGCUGGAGGAGCGAAAGCGUGGGGAGCGAACAGG
rnacentral:rRNA from 1 species